UACGAAGGGGGCAAGCGUUGUUCGGAAUUACUGGGCGUAAAGGGCGCGUAGGCGGCCGAUCAAGUCAGGCGUGAAAUUCCCGGGCUCAACCUGGGGGCUGCGCUUGAUACUGAUUGGCUUGAAUGCGGGAGAGGAUAGUGGAAUUCCCAGUGUAGAGGUGAAAUUCGUAGAUAUUGGGAAGAACAUCCGUGGCGAAAGCGCUCUGCUGGACUGCAACUGACAUUGAGGGACGAAAGCUAGGGGAGCGAAUGGG
rnacentral:rRNA from 1 species